GAUGAACGCUGGCGGCGUGCCUAAUACAUGCAAGUCGAGCGAACGGACGAGAAGCUUGCUUUUCUGAUGUUAGCGGCGGACGGGUGAGUAACACGUGGAUAACCUACCUAUAAGACUGGGAUAACUUCGGGAAACCGGAGCUAAUACCGGAUAAUAUUUUGAACCGCAUGGUUCAAAAGUGAAAGACGGUCUUGCUGUCACUUAUAGAUGGAUCCGCGCUGCAUUAGCUAGUUGGUAAGGUAACGGCUUACCAAGGCAACGAUGCAUAGCCGACCUGAGAGGGUGAUCGGCCACACUGGAACUGAGACACGGUCCAGACUCCUACGGGAGGCAGCAGUAGGGAAUCUUCCGCAAUGGGCGAAAGCCUGACAGAGCAACGCCGCGUGAGUGAUGAAGGUCUUCGGAUCGUAAAACUCUGUUAUUAGGGAAGAACAUAUGUGUAAGUAACUGUGCACAUCUUGACGGUACCUAAACAGAAAGCCACGGCUAACUACGUG
rnacentral:rRNA from 1 species